rnacentral:rRNA from 1 species
CAGUCGCCACGGUAAUACGAAGGGUGCAAGCGUUACUCGGAAUUACUGGGCGUAAAGCGUGCGUAGGCGGUGAGUUAAGUCUGCUGUGAAAUCCCCGGGCUCAACCUGGGAAUGGCAGUGGAUACUGGCUCGCUAGAGUGUGUCAGAGGAUGAUGGAAUUCCCGGUGUAGCGGUGAAAUGCGUAGAGAUCGGGAGGAACAUCAGUGGCGAAGGCGGCCAUCUGGGACAACACUGACGCUGAGGCACGAAAGCGUGGGGAGCAAACAGGAUUAGAUACCCCAGUAGUCCCUGUCUCUUAUAA